UCAAGGUAACACACACUUUUUUCCAGGAUGGGAUUCCUGCCACCCUGGUAUACCCUGUCCUUCUUGUUUGCUGUUCGGGAAGUCAACCGGAACCACAUGCUUUUCCCCAACCUCACCCUGGGCUAUGACAUCUAUGACAACUAUUAUGAUGCCAGAAUGACUUCUGGUGCCCUGGUGGACCUGCUCUGUCCUGGGCAGGCAAACAUCCCAAACUAUUAUUGUGGACCAUGGAAUAAAGCAUUGGCUGUUAUCGAAGGGGCUGACUCUGACACAUCCAAAGAUAUUUCCACCAUGUCAAGCAUCUACAAAACCCCACAGGUAUGAAUGUCAGGAGGGAAGAAAAAAUCCCAGAAAGUUAUUGCAAUUUCUUUGGAAAGAUGUGAAAAUGUCGUUCAUUAUUCUAAGGCAGAAGGAGAAUUUGGCCUCAACCACCUCUUAACAAAGAUGACUAAGGGGAUUCUGGGUUUGUCCACACUUCCUCCCAUCCCAUGGCUAGAAAGCAUGGGUCUGAGUGGCUUUCCAUUUAACCUGUGCUUUGUGGGCAUGGACCCAGGCCAUUUCUUCCUCACCCUACUCCUUUCCCACAGAAAACCCACUCUAAAUUGGAAAAGCAAUGGAAUAAGGGAAGUGUCAAUAAGCCCUUAGCUAAAUCUACAAGAUCCCACAGGUGCAAAUGCUGUGUUUUAUGGAGAAGGAUAUUUGAGGAAAUUGUCAAAAUUAAGGCAGAAGAAUGGAUUAAGUAAUGAAAGCUAGUGCCAUGUGAGAUGCAAAUGAACAAAUAUGCAAAAGGAAACAUUAAAGAAACAAGAGGCAAAAUACAAAAAGUGCAUGACAAGGCAAUGGAAUGUCAUCCUUUGAAACAAACUCUGUGAGCUCAGGCUAAACAAACCUUAGACAAACCUGUAAAAGUAAGAGCAAUUUACAGUAAAGGAAAAGCUUGAGACUUACAUUCCUAAUGUGGUCCUGCUUAUUUUUUACAUAUUCAUAUGCUAUCUUGACUCAUGAAGGAUAAUUAGUUUCAUGAAAAAUAACUGGCUCACUUAGCUUUAAUGGCUUCUCUUUGCUUCCCCUCUAUGGUCCUCUUUAAUCAAACAUAGAAGCCAUGGCAACUCUUAGAAUCAUAGAAUAUUAGAGUUGGAAGUAACUCAAGGGUCAUCUAAUCCAACCCCCUGCAAUGCAGGAAUCUCAGCUAAAGCAUCCAUAUCAGAAAGCCAUCCAACCCCUGCCCAAAAACCUCUGAGGAAGGAGAGUCCACCACCUCCAAGAGAGACCGUUCCACUGUCAAACAGAGCUUACAGUCAAAAAGUUGUUCCGUUAUGUCCUAUUGGAAUCUCCUUUCCUGCAACUUGAAGUCAUUGGUUUGAGUCCUGCCCUCCAGAGCAGGAGAAAACAAACAUGUUCCCUCUUCUAUGUGAAAGUCCUUAAGAUAUUUGAAUGCAGCUAUCAUAUCUCCUCUCAGCCUCCUCUUUUCCAGGCUAAACAUACUCAAGUCCUUCAGCCAUUCCUCAUAAGGCUUGACUCCUAGACCCUUGAUCAUCCUAGUUGACCUCUUCUGCCCACGUUCCAGCUUGUCAACAUGCUUCUUAAACUGUGGUGCCCAGAACUGGACACAGUAUUCCUGGUGUGGUCUGACCAAGACAGAAUAGAGUGGCACUAUUAUCUCCCUUGAUCUGGACACUAUACAACAUAUGAACAGAUAGCUUAUUGACGUUGACUGUUUAUGGACAUAUAUUAUGAUGUUUGGAAAGGAUUCAUAAAAGGAUAGUAUGUUAUAAACAAUUGUAUAUAUAUUAGAAUCAUCAUUUAUAUAUCACUGUAUUAUAUAUGUAUGUAUAGAAUUAUAGUUUUCCCCUUGUUUUUAUGAACCCCUUUUUCUUUUUACUUUGUUUAACUGAAAUAUUUUCAAUAAAAAAGAAAAAAUAUUUUAAAAAGGCUCUAUAUGAACUGACCCUUCUAUAAUUUCCCCUUCCUUAUGUUGUCCCUCUGCUUCCUUCACAAUUGGUAUUUGUGUUGUGAUUGGAUUGUUUUAUUUUAAAAAAAUCAUUUCUGAAGUGGAGGUUUUGAAGAGUACAGGGCAGAGAACAAUUCUUAAAUGUCUUCACACAUUUUGGCAUCCAGGAGUGGGACCUUUGUUCUAAGUUUUUCUGUCUGGCCACACACACUCUGGAAUGAUCUUUUCUUGUAAUGUGCUUUCAGUCUUAAUCUAGGCACAUAAGAUUCCUGCAUUUCUUGUGGUUGUACUCGAUGGCCCUUGUGGUCCCUUCCAAUUCAACGAUUCUGUGAUUCACUAGUAUUGUAUCUAGGAAGGUAAAGGUAAAGUACCCCUGGAUGGUUAAGUCUGUCAAAGGUAACUAUGGGGUGCAGAACUCAUCUCAGUUUCAGGCUGAGGGAGCCGGUGUUUGGCCACAGACAGCUUUCUGGGUCAUGUGGCCAGCAGGACUAAACCACUUCUGGCACAACAGAACACCAUUUCCAUGCACCUUCCCACUGCAGCAGUACCUAUUUUUCUAUUUGCACUGGUAUGCUUUUGAACUGUUAGGUUGGCAGAAGCUGAGACAGAGCAACGGGAGCUCGCUCCAUCAUGGGGAUUCAAAUCGUCGACCUUCAGAUCAGAAAUCCCAAGAGGGUUAGUGGUUUAGACCACGAUGAAAUACAGGGAAUGCAGUAUAAAAAUGCAGAACCAACUAGAGGAGAAACAAAUGGGAGGAGAAUUAUGAUAAUAAUUCUAAUAUUUAAAAAUGGAACAUAGAAAUAAGUCAGUAAAUAGUUAUGAUUCUGCAUUGUGUCAUCAUAAACACAAAAUGAAAUGUGCUGCUGUUGUCAAACUAUAUUUAUUCUCCAAAGAUUGUACUUCUAUUUGGGAUAAAUCUGCACACAUUUCUCACUUAAGAAAAGUGAGCUGAUGAUAUCAGGAGAAGGAUUGCAUCUUCAAGAUAUGAGUUUAUGCCACAAAGCAUAUCUUUUAUCAUGGACAAGCAACAGGCAGGUUUCUUCUACUACAAAUACCUCAGCAAUCUAUUUAGACAUCUGUAGGGUUUAUAGCAACUAACUUUAGAGCUUAAUUUUAUACAGAAGAACUGAUGGCUAUUAUAGGUCUAAUGUGAGCUAAAAAUGUUCAUUGCAAUUGUGUGUGAGCUUUUUCCUUUUUAACAAAAUUUGUUCUUUUUUCUUAUAUGUGAUAGUUUAAUGAAUAAAUAAGGAUGAGAACAUAUACAAUUAAAUAAAACUGCUACAAGAUACAUAUUCUAAAAGCGGUUAAAAAAAUGCAAUCAGGGCAUAACCUAAAGCAAAAGCAAAAGCAACCCAUUCCAAAGACUCUGUCACCAUUUUUUGAAAGCAAACAACGAAAUAUGGUAUAUUGUUAAACUCCUUAGCCCCGUGAAACUGUGUCAUUUCUCUGUUUCCUGUGUCAGAGAAAAGUUAUAACCAAGGCAAGUACAAAGUACUAGAUUUGGGAUUUUGUUGGGGGUGACGACACUAACCUCUUCUGUUCUUUACUAGGUCAGUUAUGGUUUUGUUUCUGAAACUCUUAAUGACAAAACUCAGUUCCCUUUUAUCUACCGAAUGGUCCCCAAAGAGGAACAUCAGUAUCUGCGAAUAGUCCAACUGCUCCUGCACUUCAACUGGACUUGGAUUGGCCUCGUUGCUCCAGACACAAACAAUGGAGAGAGGUUCAUGAGGACCUUUAGGCCUCUGCUAACCAGGAACACAAUCUGUGCUGCCUUCUCUCUUAGCAUCCCAAUACAGAAGUCGGAAUUACAGUCGCUUUCUAAAAUAUCUUUCAUGUGGAAGAAAGUCAAUGUAUUAGUCUACUAUGGAGAGAUGCGCUACUUCUUUAGUAUAAUACGUAUUUUGCAAAGAUUUGUUGAAAAGCAUAUAAGACCAAUUGUGGCGAAAGUCUGGCUCACAACAGCUUUGUGGGAUCUCACCUUGAAUUUGUCUUAUGAUCUGCUUUCUCCCCUGCACAUCCAUGGGUUUUUUUCUUUCUUAACUCGUAUUAAAAGAAGGCCAAACUAUGAUAAUUAUGAAAUAUUUCACAUUCCUAUGCUGAAGUUUGGACAGAAAUCAUUUAAGUGUUCAUAUUCAAAGCACAUGUUGUCUGUAAAAGGAAGGAGAAGGUGCAGGGAAGAUGACACUCUGGAGUCCCCACCUGACAAAGUGAUUGAGAAAACCCUGUCUCUGGAUAGUUACAGUAUUUACAACCUUGUCCUUGCUCUGGCAGGGGCCUUGAGGGCUGCACUUUCCUCCAAAUCCAAUCAGAUGGUGGCGAAGGGUAAAAAGAGGCUGAAAUAUCAAAGGAUACAGUCUUGGCAGGUAUUGCUGUUUUCCUCACAGGCUGAACAAGCAUCGGUGCUGUGUAUUCCAUUCAGACUUGACUUUACUUUGCCUCCAUUUGCAGUGGUACCUCUGGUUAAUAACUUAAUUCGUUCUAGAGGUCCAUUCUUAACCUAAAACUGCUCUUAACCUGACGUACCACCAGUGGGGCCUCCCACUGCUGUCGCGCUACCACCGGGCGAUUUCUGUUCUCAUCCUGAAGAAAAGUUCUUAACCCGAGGUACUAUUUCUGGGUUAGCGGAGUCUGUAACCUGAAGCAUCUGUAACCCGAGGUACCACUGUACUGUACUGUUACCCAUAUCUUAAUUUUGCUGCUGAGAAGACAAUCUGCCUCCACUUUACCACCUGAUUCCUUAGCAAGGCUUCAUGCUAUUACCAGCCAAGGAAACUAAUCCUUGCAGAAUUCUUCUGAGGGUGCGGAAUAAAGCUUAUGUAUGUCAUGGCUUUAGUCUGUCCCAAAAGGCUGAAGCAGAAACAAUGGGCCACAGAUCCAUUGUCCAAACAGACACACAGUGUCAGUCUGUACAAAGAUCUUCGGCAAUUAGGCUAUGUUAUCUAGAUAAUUUUAUUCUUUUCUAAAUGUGCAUGCUUUCUUUCCUGUUCUAGAUUCACCCAUUCCUGGGAAGCUCCCAGUUUUACAAUACUUCCAUGGAAGGAGUGUAUUUGGAUGAGAAUGGGCAGCUGACAGUCGAAUCUGACACUGUGAACUGGGUGCCAUUUCCCAACAAGUCCUUUGGUGCCGUGAAAUUUGGGAGCAUAAGCAGACAGGGAUUCUCAGGCCCAAAAUUCACCAUUGACGAA